rnacentral:misc_RNA from 1 species
CCUGCCGUGGCCGAGGGAAGGUGUUGGUGCCGGUGCUCCGAGUCAGUGGGCUGCAGUGCUCGGUGGAGGGAGGUCCCGGCGCGGUUGUCUCUUGGUAUUUGCUAGAAGGAAGAGUUCGCGUUUGGAUUGUUUUUACGUACGAGAAAUCCGUGUUAAGGUAGCGGUGGUGUUGCAUUGCGUGGUGUUGCGGGCCGCGCAGAGAGGGUGUCGAGGCGCGGCGAGGUGUGGGCAUCCUCAGGGGGUGGUGAGGAAACUCGUGUUAGUGAUUGAUGACCCAAAGUGUUGCGUGUGCGAUAGUCGAGGCGCCGCAGACACGCAGUAGGAGAGGCUGGGCGUGCUGAUGAGCGUGUGGGUGGUGUGUGUCUUGGCCGCCGCGCGUCCAUGGUGAUAAGACGGCGCCGCGCUGCUCGCCUCGACGACGAGCGCAGUUGACGGCUUGUGCGGGCGGCGAGGCGGAGGCAGCAAGCAGGGCGGCGUCAGCAGGAGGCAUGGAGCUGGUGACGGGGCGGGGCGGGGCGCGGCGUGGACGGGCGGUGGUGGGGCUGGAUGUGGUGAGCCACACGCUGCCCCGCUCUUACCGCGCCCCCGCCAGCCGCCCCUGCUGCCCGCCGCCCGCCACCCCGCCACCCGUCCAGCCCAGGGACGACAUGUGCAGCGAGCCAGGCUGCCCCGGCUGCCACCCCGACCUGUGCUCCGGGGACCCCAACCUCCACUGUAGCGCCUUCUCGCCCUACUCCGCCCACCAGCGCCCCGCGACGCCUCCUGGGGACUGGGGGGAGGAAGAUGUGGGGGAAUGCCUCUCCUGUAGUUACGCGGCGCCGCCCCCCUGUGCCUGCCCCGACCCCAGCUGCCGGGGCACCAGCGAGCCGCCCCCGCCCUGCCCUUGGGACUACUGCCCGCCCCGCCAGGAGGCCCCGGUCCACUCCCACGCCGCCCACGAGGUUCACCCCACCCAUGACCUGUACAGGGGGCGGGCCUCCUCAGACUGUUCGCAGCUCCCAAAGUUACUGAGCUUGGAGGAGAGACUCAGCACCGCCCUGGGUCGCCCGCCGGACACCCACACCCACGCCCACGCCCACCCUUGCAACAACUCCCGCCUCAGCCUCAGCAGUUACACGCACCACGCUCCCCCAUACGCCCAUCACAACCACGUCUACGCCCACGAGGUUCCUCCGGCGGGGUCACGUCUCAGCAGGAGCCUAGAGGACCUGCCUAAGGACAUCAAGGACCAUAUCCUGCGCUGCCAGUGUUCCUGUGACCACAUGGGAUACGGGAACUAUUCGAGCACCUCACUGCACCGCAUCCCUGGACUCAGCAACGGGUGUUCCUCGCUCAGCACCAAGAACAGCAGCCGCGAGGACGUGUCUCAGGACCUCACGCAGCUCAGCGACUCACACAAAGCUGGAUGGCUAGGGUUGGAGGUGCCAGCUCAUGUGUGGGGUGGCGUGUGUCUGGUGCUGGUGCUGGCGGGCGUGGCGGGCGUGGGCGUGUCCGUGCCCCUCACCCUGCGUGCUGACCCCAAUGCUGACCAGCUGGAGAGGUUCAGCGCCGCCGUGGAGCUGCUGAGGGACGCACCGCUUAUUGAUGGGCACAAUGAUCUGCCGUGGAACAUCAGAAAGUUCAUGCACAACAAACUUCACAGCUUCAACUUCACAGCGGAACUCCAGCAACUGAGGCCGUGGUCACGCUCCUCCUGGUCCCACACUGAUCUGCCCAGGCUGCGGCGGGGCAUGGUAGGGGCGCAGUUCUGGGUGAGUUACGUGCCGUGUGAGGCCCAGCGUUUGAAUGCCGUGCAGCUCACCAUAGAACAGAUCGACCUCAUCAAACGCCUCAUUGAGCAGUACCCAGAGGACCUGCGUUUGGCCACCUCUGCUGACGAAGUGGAGGCGGCCUUCAGGGAGGGGCGCAUUGCCAGCCUGAUCGGAGUGGAGGGCGGCCACGCUAUUCAAAACUCCUUGGGCGUGCUGAGGUCACUGAGGGACUUGGGCGUGCGCUACCUCACCCUCACCCACACCUGCAGCACGCCCUGGGCCGAGUGUGCACGUGCAAGAGAGGACGACCCCGAGGACCCCAAUUCACCAAGGGGACUCACGCACUUCGGCAGAACAGUGGUAAGGGAGAUGAACCGCCUGGGCCUGCUGGUGGACCUAUCCCACGUGUCGCAGGCCACCAUGAGGGAGGCCCUGGAGGUGUCACGCGCCCCUGUCAUCUUCAGUCACUCCUCCGUCUACGCCAUCUGCAGGAAUCCAAGAAAUGUGCCUGACGAUAUUCUGGAGCGCGUGAUCACAUUAAUCACGUGAGGAAAGUGGCGGGAGUACAACACGUGGGCAUUGGUGCUGACUUCGAUGGUGUGAACAAGCUGCCAGCGGGUUUGGAGGACGUGUCUCGGUACCCGCACCUCUUCGCCGAGCUGAUGAGUGACCCCUCGUGGACCAUUGAGGACCUGAAGAAGCUGGCGGGACAGAACCUACUGAGAGUGAUGCGGGAUGUCGAGAAG